rnacentral:rRNA from 1 species
CCUACGGGAGGCUGCAGUGAGGAAUAUUGGUCAAUGGACGAGAGUCUGAACCAGCCAAGUAGCGUGAAGGAUGACUGCCCUAUGGGUUGUAAACUUCUUUUAUAUGGGAAUAAAAUGUUCCACGUGUGGGAUUUUGUAUGUACCAUAUGAAUAAGGAUCGGCUAACUCCGUGCCAGCAGCCGCGGUAAUACGGAGGAUCCGAGCGUUAUCCGGAUUUAUUGGGUUUAAAGGGAGCGUAGGUGGAUUGUUAAGUCAGUUGUGAAAGUUUGCGGCUCAACCGUAAAAUUGCAGUUGAAACUGGCAGUCUUGAGUAGAGUAGAGGUGGGCGGAAUUCGUGGUGGAGCGGUGAAAUGCUUAGAUAUCACGAAGAACUCCGAUUGCGAAGGCAGUUCACUGGACUGCAACUGACACUGAGGCUCGAAAGUGUGGGUAUCAAACAGGAUUAGAUACCCCUGUAGUC